AAAAAAAACUAUUGCAACUUCCGGUUAAUAGGGAAAUCAAUGAAUUAUAACAUUUAAACAUAGCAGAACAAUUUGAGUGAACAAUUGCACAGCACUAAUGUAAUUAUAAAUAACUUUGAAUAUUUGCACUGCACUUAUGUAAAUAUGCAGGGUUUUGUGUGCAUAGAGAAUUAUGAAGUGUUCAUCUCCAUCCAAUGUUGCACCGGAAGUAAGUUACCCUGCGCGCCAAACGCAAACGUGGAAGCGAUGAUUUCAGGUAGAGGCGCCAAGCGAAGCCUCGCCCAUUAGGUUUAGUUAGCUGCAGUGCUCGCUUGCAUGGUUAAGUAAUUAACCUGAGGGUGGAACAAAUCUCUGAGACAUCCUCACCCUUGAAGCUCCAGUGAACAUUGUGUCUGACUGCAGUAGUGAAACGCCUAAAGCUGCUGGUGAUCCAGUCAGCAUUUUGAAUGCUCCUAAAGUUGCUGGUGCUCCAGCUAGAAUUAGUGAAGCUUCUGGUUUCUGAAGCUGCAAUCAGCAUUGUGUCUGAUGGGAGUGCUGAUGCCAUCAAAGUUCCGUUUCGCUUCCAGUCUGACUAGAGCGCUGAUGCUGUUGAAUCUCCGAUCUGAUUCCAGCCUGUCUUGAGGACAUCCUAUCCUUCUAUCAUCCUUGUUCAGGUUGCAGUCAAAUGUAUCAAGAAAACAGCACCUGGAAUACAUCAACAAUCCAUGGUCUGAUGUUGUCUCCUGAUGGAGGCCGCUCUAUUGAUUCUAGACAAUGAAAACACCAGAGUCUUUCAAAUUAUCCAGCUG